rnacentral:rRNA from 1 species
GACGAACGCUGGCGGCGUGCUUAACACAUGCAAGUCGUACGGUAAGGCCCUUUCGGGGGUCCACGAGUGGCGCACGGGUGAGUAACACGUGAGUAACCUGCCCACAACUUUGGGAUAACGCUAGGAAACUGGUGCUAAUACUGGAUAUGUGCUCCUGCUGCAUGGUGGGGGUUGGAAAGCUCCGGCGGUUGUGGAUGGACUCGCGGCCUAUCAGCUUGUUGGUGGGGUAGUGGCCUACCAAGGCGGCGACGGGUAGCCGGCCUGAGAGGGUGACCGGCCACAUUGGGACUGAGAUACGGACCAGACUCCUACGGGAGGCAGCAGUGGGGAAUAUUGAACAAUGGGCGCAAGCCUGAUGCAGCAACGCCGCGUGCGGGAUGACGGCCUUCGGGUUGUAAACCGCUUUCAGCAGGGACGAAGCUUUUUGUGACGGUACCUGCAGAAGAAGCACCGGCUAACUACGUG